GCUCACCUGGACCGGGGGCGUGGCCUUUACCUGCUGGCCAAGGGCGGGGCCGUGCUGCUCAAGAGCAGGCUGGAGGAGCUGCGCAUCCUAUUGGACAGUUACCCCGCCCCCACCAUCGAGGCGCACCGGCGAAUCAGGUGAGAGGACGCGCCCGCCCUCAUUAGCAUAGCGGGGACACGCCCACUCAUUAGCAGAGCGAGGGGGCACACCCCUCUAAUUAGCAUAGAGCGAUUGCGGCGCCCUCAUUAGCAUAGCGAGGGGGCACGCCCAUCCUCAUUAGCAUAGGAAUUAGGGCACGCCCACCCUCAUUAGAAAAGCGGGGACACUCCCACUCAUUAGCAUAGCGAGGGGGCACGCCCCUCUAAUUAGCAUAGAGCGAUUGCGGCCCCCUCAUUAGCAUAGCGAGGGGGCACGCCCCUCUAAUUAGCAUAGGGUGGGGGCACGCCCCCUUCAUUAGCAUAGUGAUGAGGGCGUGCCCAUCCUCAUUAGCAUAGAAAGGAGGGCACACCCAUCAUUAGCAUAGGGCGGGGGCACGCCCCCUUCAUUAGCAUAGUGAUGAGGACAUGCCACGCUCAUUAGCAUAAUGAGGGGGCGCAGUCCCUUCAUUAGCAUAGCGAGGAGGGCACGCCCAUCCUCAUUAGCAUAGGAAUUAGGGCACGCCCACCCUCAUUAGCAUAGCGGGGACACUCCCACUCAUUAGCAUAGCGAGGGGGCACGCCCCUCUAAUUAGCAUAGAGCGAUUGCGGCCCCCUCAUUAGCAUAGCAAGGGGGCACGCCCCUCUAAUUAGCAUAGAGCGAUGGCGGCCCCCUCAUUAGCAUAGCGAGGGGGCACGCCCCUCUAAUUAGCAUAGAGCGAUUGCGGCCCCCUCAUUAGCAUAGCGAUGAGGGCACACCCACUCUCAUUAGCAUAGAGCGGGGGCAGCCCCCUCAUUAGCAUAGCGAUGAGGGCAUGCCACCCUCAUUAGCAUAAUGAGGGGGCACAGUCCCUUCAUUAGCAUAGCGAGGAGGGCACGCCCAUCCUCAUUAGCAUAGGAAUUAGGGCACGCCCACCCUCAUUAGCAUAGAGAUGAGGGCACGCCCAUCCUCAUUAGCAUAGUGAUAGCACGCCCCUCAUUAGCAUAGCGCUGAGGGAAUGCCCCCUCAUUAGCAUAGCCACACGACUCAUUAGC
rnacentral:lncRNA from 1 species